GUGGGUAACCUGCCCAAGAGAUCGGGAUAACACCUGGAAACAGAUGCUAAUACCGGAUAACAACAGAUGAUGCCUAUCAACUGUUUAAAAGAUGGUUCUGCUAUCACUCUUGGAUGGACCUGCGGUGCAUUAGCUAGUUGGUAGGGUAACGGCCUACCAAGGCGAUGAUGCAUAGCCGAGUUGAGAGACUGAUCGGCCACAUUGGGACUGAGACACGGCCCAAACUCCUACGGGAGGCAGCAGAA
rnacentral:rRNA from 1 species